UGGGGAAUAUUGCACAAUGGGCGAAAGCCUGAUGCAGCAACGCCGCGUGAGGGACGACGGCCUUCGGGUUGUAAACCUCUUUUAGCAAGGAAGAAGCGAAAGUGACGGUACUUGCAGAAAAAGCGCCGGCUAACUACGUGCCAGCAGCCGCGGUAAUACGUAGGGCGCAAGCGUUAUCCGGAAUUAUUGGGCGUAAAGAGCUCGUAGGCGGUUUGUCGCGUCUGCUGUGAAAAACCCGAGGCUCAACCUCGGGGCCUGCAGUGGGUACGGGCAGACUAGAGUGCGGUAGGGGAGAUUGGAACUCCUGGUGUAGCGGUGGAAUGCGCAGAUAUCAGGAAGAACACCGAUGGCGAAGGCAGAUCUCUGGGCCGUAACUGACGCUGAGGAGCGAAAGGGUGGGGAGCAAACAGGCUUAGAUGACCCUGGUAGUCCACCCCGUAAACGUUGGGAA
rnacentral:rRNA from 1 species